UAUGUCUAGACUAGCCAUGCAUGUCUAGUAUAAAUGAUAUACAGUGAAACUGCGAAUGGCUCAUUAAAACAGUUAUAGUUUAUUUGGUAAUCGAAUUUACAUGGAUAACCGUGGUAAUUCUAGAGCUAAUACAUGCUGUAAAGCCCGACUCAACGGAAGGGCCGUAUUUAUUAGAUAACAGACCAAUAUUCCUCGUGUCUAUUGUGGUGAAUCAUAGUAACUAAUCGGAUCGCAUGGGCUAGUCCCGCGACAAACCAUUCAAGUUUCUGCCCCAUCAGCUUUCGAUGGUAGUGUAUUGGACUACCAUGGCUUUUACGGGUAACGGAGGAUUAGGGUUCGAUUCCGGAGAGGGAGCCUGAGAAACGGCUACCACAUCUAAGGAAGGCAGCAGGCGCGUAAAUUACCCAAUCCUAAUUCAGGGAGGUAGUGACAAGAAAUAACGGGUCGGGGCUAUGCCCCGGGACUGCAAUGAGAUGAAUUUACACCCCUUUUCGAGUAAC
rnacentral:rRNA from 1 species